rnacentral:snoRNA from 1 species
GAGCAAUGAUGAACCUUUGCUUACUGACUUCAUCAGUGGAGGCUUUUACACUUGAACUGAGCUCA